UUGCCUGUACCAUAACCGACACAGGUGGGUAGGUAGAGUAUACUAAGGGGCGCGAGAUAACUCUCUCUAAGGAACUCGGCAAAAUGACUCCGUAACUUCGGGAGAAGGAGUGCCUUAUUUAUAAGGUUGCAAUAACCAGAUCCAAGCAACUGUUUAUCAAAAACACAGGUCUCCGCAAAGUCGUAAGACGAUGUAUGGGGGCUGGCGCCUGCCCAGUGCCAGAAGGUUAAAGAAGUUGGUUAGUUUCGGCGAAGCUGAUAACUGAAGCCCUGGUGAACGGCGGCCGUAACCAUAACGGUCCUAAGGUAGCGAAAUUCCUUGUCGGGUAAGUUCCGACCCGCACGAAAGGCGUAAUGAUUUGGAUACUGUCUCAGAGAGGGACUCGGUGAAAUAGACUUGUCUGUGAAGAUGCGGACUACCUGCACCUGGACAGAAAGACCCUAUGAAGCUUUACUGUAACUUGAAAUUGAAAUUGGACUUUAUUUGCGCAGUAUAGGUGGGAGGCAUUGAAGAUCGUCUUGCGGGAAGAUUGGAGCCAUCAGUGAGAUACCACUCUUGUAAUGUUAGAUUUCUAACUUUGCAUCAUUAUCUGGUCAAAGAACAGUUUCAGGCGGGCAGUUUGACUGGGGCGGUCGCCUCCCAAAGGGUAACGGAGGCGCACAAAGGUUUCCUCUGAACGGGUAGAAAUCGUAUCUAGAGUGUAAAGGCAUAAGGAAGCUUGACUGUGAGACCUACAAGUCGAGCAGGGACGAAAGUCGGUCUUAGUGAUCUGACGGUGCUGAGUGGAAAGGCCGUCACUCAACGGAUAAAAGUUACUCUAAGGAUAACAGGCUGAUCUCCCCCAAGAGUUCACAUCGACGGGGAGGUUUGGCACCUCGAUGUCGGCUCAUCGCAUCCUGGGGCGGUAGUACGUCCCAAGGGUUGGGCUGUUCGCCCAUGAAAGCUGUACGCGAGCUGGGUUCAGAACGUCGUGAGACAGUUCGGUCCAUAUCCGGUGUAGGCGUUAGAAUAUUGAGAGGUGCCUUCUUUAGUACGAGAGGACCGAGAAGGACAUACCUCUGGUGUACCAGUUAUCGUGCCAACGGUAAACGCUGGGUAGCUAUGUAUGGAGUGGAUAACCGCUGAAAGCAUCUAAGUGGGAAGCCCACCUCAAGAUAAGUAUUCUCAUCACGUAAGUGAAUAAGGUCACGGUAAGACUAACCGUUUGAUAGGCAUUAAGUGUAAAUUUAGUAAUAAAUGAGCUGAGAUGUACUAACAGACCGAAGAC
rnacentral:rRNA from 1 species